AUCCUACUCCCUCCGUUCCACAAUACAUGCCUUCUAUUUGUCAAAAUAUAGAUGUAUCUAGACAUGUUUUAGUAUAUAGGUACAUCCAUUUUUGGACAAAUGGAAGUCAAGUAUUGUGGAACGGAGGGAGUACACA
rfam:Triticum aestivum genome assembly, contig: Triticum_aestivum_CS42_TGACv1_scaffold_578619_7BL